GUAUGCUUAUUCCGUGGUUCUAGUUAACCUAACUUUUACAAUUUUUCACAUUUAAAGGUUUCUAUCAGCUUGGGCAGAUUAAAUACAAAUUUGGUGACAUAAGGCAAAGAUCCAAUAUAAAAUUUAUUCAGUAUGUCCACAUAAAACGAGAAAUGAGAGAUCUCUGCCAUACGUCACUCUACAGGAUCAGCACUAGGGUUGUACACAGAAGUUCUAGACCACUUGAUAUUAGCCAGGAAGACACUGAUGAACUCAUCCAAAGAUGAGAACUCAUGUGCUCUACUCCGGAAAAACAACAGGGGUUCACCGCUCAGCAAGCUGGUUAAUUGGAGCCGCCACAUGUUCCAAGAGAUGUUAUUCUGACUCCUGAAGCGCUGGAUCCGCGGGCUCCUCUUCGCCCCACUCAACAUCGACAUCUGCUACCCCAGUAUUCAGUGGUGAGUUGGUAGCUUCAAUCUGAGUGGACGACAGAUGCUGUAAACCUUGAGGAUCGAAAACUAUUGAACUGACACUUCUGGGUUCCCUCUCCCAUGGCUCUGGAUCUGGAAAACCGCCGUUUAUAUAUGAAACCUCAGAAUUAGCCGGAGUGUGGUUCAUGUUAAUAUUGAGUGAUAAUUUAAAUUUGAAAAAGCAAGAAAGUUUAAGCAAUGAGGCCUUUAUAGUGGUCCACAAGAUAGAAUUUACAAGUGUGAAUAAAGUGUUAACAGUGGUAAAAAGUUUUCAAACCAUUGAUUACUCUCAUAUGAACAGGUAUUUACCAAUUUAAAGUUUAUUUUGUUUUAUGUCCUAUCUAGAUCUGUCAAUUUGCUCUGUAUGCCUGUAUUUAUAACUAUACAGCCUUCUUUUACAAAUAGUAUUAUAUUAAAAGAGAUCAAAUGUCAACUUUCGACUAGCUUAUUGCUGAUUGUAGCCUAUAUGAUUAUUAAACUGGCUUAUAUUUAACUGGUUAAUGAAUUGAUAAAAUUCAGCAAUUUAGGCCCAUAGAAUAUUCCAGAAUCUAGUUUCAAAAAUAAUAAAAUUAUUAAAAUAAUUUCUCUUUGCAUAAAGCUAUUACUUCCCAAAAUAAUUUUUUACUUUACUUGCGGUCACAAACAAGAUCUUACUGCCUAUCGUCCAUCCAUGACAAAUCCCAAUCUGUAUUGACUUGUCUAUACUUAUCAGUGAUAUACAGCCCUGAUUUAUACUCAAUAAUGUGAUUUUAUGAGCUCUGUUCUCAUCACCAGCCCCACUGUUGGAUGCGCCAUGUUUUCUCUAUAACGUGUGCCCUGCUUGGCCGCAGUCGGUAGAGCAAAUAUUUGGAUAAUGUAUAAUACUUUUUGUGAUUCCUGGAAAAAUAAUAGUACCAAUUUCUUACCAGCUCCCCCAGGAGCUCAAACAGUUCUCUGCUUUCGCUGGCUGCAAACAUCGGCCGCUUUAACAGUUCACAGUUCUUGUGACUGAUUUGGUGUACUCCACAAAUAUAGAUGCAGUAGAGAUAUUGAACUCUUUCCCACUGUCGGCCUUUGUUUAGAGUGGGUUUCGAACUCCCUCACUCUAUACGGUAUUUUGCCUGGCGCCAAUCAAUUACUAUGAAUUGAUAGAAUAAUUACUUUACUAAAAUUUCACUCACUGUGUGGAUACUUAUA
rnacentral:lncRNA from 1 species